GAUGAACGCUGGCGGCGUGCCUAAUACAUGCAAGUCGAGCGAACAGACGAGGAGCUUGCUCCUCUGACGUUAGCGGCGGACGGGUGAGUAACACGUGGAUAACCUACCUAUAAGACUGGGAUAACUUCGGGAAACCGGAGCUAAUACCGGAUAAUAUAUUGAACCGCAUGGUUCAAUAGUGAAAGACGGUUUUGCCGGCAGUUAUAGAUGGGUCGGCGCCUCAUUGGCUUGUUGGGAAGGUAACGGCUUACCAAGGCAACGAUGCGUAGCCGACCUGAGAGGCUGACCGGCGACCUAGGGACUGAGGGAGGGCACAGGUGGGAAACGUACGCAAAAGGGGGAAAGCUUGCGGAAUGGGCGCAAGUCGGAUGCAGAAGGGCUGCGUGCGGGAAAACGUCCUUCGGGGGAAGAACAAAUGUGUAAGGAACUGUGCACGUCUUGACGGUACCUAGUCAGAAAGCCACGGCUAACUACGUG
rnacentral:rRNA from 1 species